UCCGGCUCUACGCCGGCAGUCUCUCUAGAGUCCCCGCCAUCACGCGCUGGCAACUAGAGACGAGGGUUGCGCUCGUUGCGGGACUUAACCCAACACCUCACGGCACGAGCUGACGACAGCCAUGCAACACCUGUCACGGGCCCUUACGGACCCUGCAUCUCUGCAGGUUUUCCCGUGAUGUCAAGCCCAGGUAAGGUUCUUCGCGUUGCCUCGAAUUAAGCCACAUGCUCCGCCGCUUGUGCGGGUCCCCGUCAAUUCCUUUGAGUUUUAGCCUUGCGGCCGUACUCCCCAGGCGGGGUGCUUAAUGCGUUAGCUGCGGCACAGAACGCGUCGAUAGCGUCCCACACCUAGCACCCAUCGUUUACGGCUAGGACUAC
rnacentral:misc_RNA from 1 species